AUUGAACGCUGGCGGCAUGCUUUACACAUGCGAGUCGAACGGUAACAGGUUAAGCUGACGAGUGGCGAACGGGUGAGUAAUGCAUCGGAACGUGCCCGGUCGUGGGGGAUAACGCAGCGAAAGCUGCGCUAAUACCGCAUACGACCUAAGGAUGAAAGCGGGGGACCGUAAGGCCUCGCGCGAUCGGAGCGGCCGAUGUCAGAUUAGGUAGUUGGUGGGGUAAAGGCUCACCAAGCCAACGAUCUGUAGCGGGUCUGAGAGGACGACCAGCCACACUGGGACUGAGACACGGCCCAGACUCCUACGGGAGGCAGCAGUGGGGAAUUUUGGACAAUGGGCGUAAGCCUGAUCCAGCAAUGCCGCGUGCAGGAAGAAGGCCUUCGGGUUGUAAACUGCUUUUGUACGGAGCGAAAAGGUCUCCUCUAAUACAGGGGGCUCAUGACGGUACCGUAAGAAUAAGCACCGGCUAACUACGUGCCAGCAGCCGCCGUAA
rnacentral:rRNA from 1 species